rnacentral:rRNA from 1 species
GAUGAACGCUGGCGGCGUGCUUAACACAUGCAAGUCGAACGGGGAACGAGGGAGCUUGCUCCCUCCGGAUCAGUGGCGAACGGGUGAGUAACACGUGAGCAAUCUGCCCCGAACUCUGGGAUAAGCGCUGGAAACGGCGUCUAAUACCGGAUACGACGAUCGAAGGCAUCUUCUGCGCGUGGAAAGAAUUUCGGUUCGGGAUGAGCUCGCGGCCUAUCAGCUAGUUGGUGAGGUAACGGCUCACCAAGGCGACGGCGGGUAGCCGGCGGGGGAGGGUGACCGGCCACAGUGGGAGUGAGACACGGCCCAGACUCCCACGGGACGCAGCAGUGGGGUAUAUUGCACAAUGGGCGCAAGCCUGAUCCAGCAGCGCCGCGUGAGCGACGACGGCCUUCGGGUUGUAAACCUCUUUUAGUAGGGAAGAAGCGAAAGUGACGGUACCUGCAGAAAAAGCACCGGCUAACUACGUGCCAGCCGCCGCGGUAAGAC